AGACCUCCAAUCAGACGAGGUUACCCGCUGAACUUAAGCAUAUUAUUAAGCGGAGGAAAAGAAACCAACUGGAAUUCCCAUAGUAGCGGCGAGCGAAGUGGGAGUAGCCCAAUUUGAAAAUCCUUUUUCUUUUUGAAAAGGAGAUGUAUAUUUCAAUGUUUUCUAGUAUUUGCAUGAAAGAAAAAGCAAAAUUCCUGGAAUGGAAUAUCAUGGAGGGUGAUAAUCCCGUUUAUCUUUUCCACUGUCAUGCGUUACGAUACUAGAAACGGUAGAGUCGGGUUGUUUGGUAGUACAGCCUUAAUGAAUUGGGUGUUAUAUAUCAUCCAAGGCUAAAUAUGAAAGAGAGACCGAUAGCGAACAAGUACCGUGAGGGAAAGAUGAAAAGGACUUUGAAAAGAGAGUGCAAUAGUACUUGAAACCGUUGAGAGGGAAGCGCAAUCUACCAGUGUUUUUCUAUAAAAUGACCCUGGAAAUCCUAGUUUGCAAAAAUCAUCAUAUUUUUUUGUGAAUGUUGGUUAUUUCCAUGGGAUGUCCAUGUACAUGGUAAAAGUAGAUGCAAGGCUAUAUUCAAGUUGCCCAUGAUUUCCGAAAUUUUUCAAUUUGUGGAAAUGAUGGUGUCUGUGAAUGUAGAAUGUGUAUCUACUUGACUAUGUAUGAUUUAUCUCAAGUAUCAUGGACGAAAUGGUAGAUUUCGACCCGUCUUGAAACACGGACCAAGGAGUCUAACAUGACAGCGAGUAGAAAGAGAAGUAUCUCUCAUUCUACGUAGUGUAAGCAAAAUUUGAAGAGUGAUUUUUUUCGUCAUUGAAGAAAAGCAACUCGGUUCCUUUUUUCUAAAGAAAGCUGGAAAUGUAGUUGUCAUGUUGGGACCCGAAAGAUGGUGAACUAUGCCCGAGUAGGAUGAAGCCAGAGGAAACUCUGGUGAAAGUCCGUUUACGAUGCUGACGUGCAAAUCGCUCGUUUGACUUGGGUAUAGGGGCGAAAGACCAAUCGAACCAUCUAGUAGCUGGUUCCCUCCGAAGUUUCCCCCAGGAUAGCUACAGCACUCAUGUAACAGUUUUACUGUGUCAAGCGAAUGAUUAGAGGCCUCGGGAGAUUGUAAUUUCUCGACCUAUUCUCAAACUCUUAAUUGGUAAGGUACGAUACGCUAUUUUUCUAAGCGUAUUGUGGAAAAAGACAUGAUUCUUUUUUUGAGAAUGUAUUGCUGUUAGUGGGCCAUUUUUGGUAAGCAGAACUGGCGAUGCGGGUUGAACCGAACGAGAUGCUAAGGUGCCUGAAUGUACGGUUCAUUAGAAAUCGAAAAGGUGUUGAUUCAUUUAGACAGCAGGACGAUGGUCAUGGAAGUUGACAUUCGCUAAGGAGUGUGUAACAACUCACCUGCCGAAUGGUUUAGCCCUGAAAAAGGAUGGCGCUUCACCGUACUACCGAUGCAUCUCCGUUUCUUUUUCUGAAUGUAUAAACAAGGAACGUGUAGGAGGGCGUAGAGUAUGUUGUCAAGUUUAUUUUUGCGAAUGAAUGGAACGUACUCUAAUGCGGAUCUUGGUGGUAGUAGCAACGAUUCAAGUGAGAACCUUGAAGACUGAAGUGGAGUAGGUUUCCAUGUGAACAUUGAUUGGCCAUGGGUGAGUCGGUCCUAAGAGCGUAGAUGACUCUUUAUGAAAAGCCAUUUUUAUAUGGAAAUGGACAAGCUCGAAAGGGAAUUGGGUUUAUAUUCCCAAACCAGGUUGAAAUAUGAAAUGGGGUUGAUUUCAUAUGGUCGAUUUUUUUUCAUUUGAGAAAGGAUUGUACAUAUGAAAAGCAAGCGGCAACGCAAAGGUAUAUGGGAAACGAUUGCACAAGCCCUUGGAAGAGAUAUCUUUUCUUUUUAACAUUUUUUAUUAUGAUCCUGGAAACAGGUUACCUGGCGAUAGGAUGAUAAUGAUGUGAUAGCUAGGA
rnacentral:ncRNA from 1 species